GACGUAGGGGGCCAGCGUUGUUCGGAAUUACUGGGUGUAAAGGGUUCGUAGGCGGUGCGGCAAGUUGGGAGUGAAAUCUCUGGGCUUAACCCAGAGGCUGCUUCCAAAACUGCUGUGCUUGAGUGUGGGAGAGGCGCGUGGAAUUGCAGGUGUAGCGGUGAAAUGCGUAGAUAUCUGCAGAAACACCCGUGGCGAAAGCGGCGCGCUGGACCACUACUGACGCUGAGGAACGAAAGCUAGGGGAGCAAACAGG
rnacentral:rRNA from 1 species